rnacentral:rRNA from 1 species
AUGGAAGAGGUGGCGGGGCUGAUGAAGGGACUGCAGCUGUCGGAGGAAGAGAAGAAGGGGGUGAAGAUUAGACUGUCAGCGAAGGAUAAGGGGAAGAGCGUGGAAUUGCAGGCGGUGGGGAAGGUGGUGUCAGAUCGGCUAGCGCACGCAGAUGCCAUCCGGUUGUCGUUGGGCAAGGUGUGGUGCCCCAUUAAGGGCAUCGAUUGCAAGGAAGUGGGGGAGAACCGAUUCAUGUUUACGUUCUAUCAAGAUUCGGGGAAGAGGAAGGCGCUUGAUAAUGGGCCUUGGAUGUUCGAUAAAGACCUGGUAGUAGUGGAAGAUUUUGUGCCCAGGAAGAGAAUUGAAGACUAUGAGUUUAGUAAUAUUCCGAUAUGGGUGAGGGUUUAUGAUUUACCUCUUGGGAUGAUGAAUGCGGAGUCAGCUGGGGAUAUUGGAAACUUUGUUGGUCAAUUCGUGGAGGCUGAUACUGAGGCAGACGGCAAUGCUAUUGGGAAGUAUCUGCGGGUCAAAGUACGCAUGAGAAUAGAUAAGCCGAUUAUGAGGGGAUUCAUGUUAGAGGAGGAGGAGGACGAUGGGAAGGGGAGGGGCCAGGAGAAAGAAGGGAAGAAGACGGAGGAGGAGGAAAGCGGAUGGUGUCGUUUUGAGUAUGAAUUCAUGCCGGAUUUUUGUUACAUCUGUGGACUCAUUGGACAUGGCGAGAAGGACUGCUCCAAAACCCUGCAGAAGGGUGAGAAGCCGCAGUUUGGACGGUGGCAACGAGCGGACAUGAACCAGAGAAGGGGAUCUUUUGAGGAAGAAGGCUAG